rnacentral:pre_miRNA from 14 species
UUUUACAGACUGAAUAUUUGUAAUGCAUUGAACUGUGUGAAAGACCCCCAGAGCAGGGAGACCCUCACUCAAGUCUCGGGACGAUGCGACACCCCAAGAACUCACGUGAGACC